AUGGAAAAGAAAGAAGGCAUAGUUUCCAAAACUUUGGGAUCCUGUGAAGGUGAAGACAAAGGAAACACUAAACUACACAACUUUCCUGUCCACCCUCUGCACAGCAGUGCUGCAAUGCUGCACCGAGCCAAACAGAGAAAUCAUAAUAACAGAAACACAUUUGUCUGGCAGAGUGAACAGAAGAAAUGUUGCAGAAUUGAGAUACGAAGAACCUCAGUGCAGAAUAGAAGGAGAACUGUCAUUCUGAUUGUUUGUCAUUAUUGUUUCAUGUCCAGUUAAGUGAACUUAAAAUGACAGUUGUGUCAUAACUGCUGGCAUCUAUGUAAAUUUCAAAUCAAAUAUGAUAGAGGCAUUUCUGCCAGACACAAGUCACCAGGCUGCUCUUCCUCUUCAUUUUUGUAACCCUCCAUUUUCUCAUGCCAUUGCUGGUAGCCCUUAAAUUAAAAAGACAACUUCAACAGGGGGUCUCUGUGAUGUGUGUGUUUCAGUGCUCAGCCUGUACCUUGCUUUCUCUCAGCUUUUUGAAACAACGCCCAGUGUCAAAUUUCCACCAGAAACAGUCACCACAAACAUCUAGAUGGAUUAGCUAAAACUCUGCCUUCCCAGGCAUGAUGUGUCAUACAACAACACCCUAUGAAGUUCUAGGUUGAGAACAUCCCCUGAAGACAUACAGAGUUAGCAGCUCGAGCAAAUGUUCCUCCAUUGGUUUACUACAGCCCAAGCCAGGUACCACAGAGGUCUUCUCUGUGCAUAGGUGCAAAAUAGCCAGAAAACAUCAGUCAUGGACCUUUCUGUACAUUACAGCAUGGUUCAGAGAUCAUGGGAACUUCAUAAAGAUAUCAGACAUACUCCUCCAUUGCAAUGAGCUACAUGCAAAUAAUUCAUUUUCUGGGUACACUCAGAUAUUCUAAUUACACAGGAUUUGCUACUGGACACACAUCUUUGAAAAUAAUUUUGAUGCAAUUAUAAAGGUAUUUUGUGUGGACAGCACCAUGAAAAAUUAUUAAACAUGCUAUUUAUUCACUCAGGGAUAAUAUACUAAUUUUUUCUGCAUAUUUAAAGUUACUCGGCUAAUUAAUUAGAUAAUAAAGGCUAGAGUUAAGUUUUCA
rnacentral:lncRNA from 1 species